UUAUGCGAUACCUGGUGUGAAUUGCAGAAUUCAGUGAAUCAUCGAAUCUUUGAACGCACCUUGCGCUCCUUGGUAUUCCGAGGAGCACACCUGUUUGAGUGUCGUGUAAUUCUCAACCUACAAGGUCUUUGUGGGCCUUGUUAGGCUUGGAUAUUGGAGGAUAUAAUUGUCGGCAUGAGUCGGCUCCUCUUAAAUGCAUUAGCUUGGUCCUUUGUGGAUCGGCUCUCGGUGUGAUAAGUUGUUUAUGCCGUGACCGUGAAGCAUUUUCUAUGGGAAGGAGCUUAUAAUCGUCUCUUCACUUGAGACAAUACACUUUGACAUCUGGCCUCAAAUCAGGUGGGACUACCCGCUGAACUUAAGCAUAUCAAUAAUCGGAGGAAG
rnacentral:rRNA from 1 species